GGCGGAAUAGUUUAGCGGCUAUAACAGUGGAAUCAUACUCCUCGUGGCGUAGGUUCAAAUCCUACUUUCGCUA
rnacentral:tRNA from 1 species